rnacentral:RNase_P_RNA from 1 species
GGGACGGGCCGAGGGAUCGCCGCCGGGGGUUCGUAGAGCCCGCCGGAUGGAGGAAAGUCCGAGCUCCCGAGGGCAGGGUGCCGGGUAACGCCCGGGCGCCGCAAGGCGACGGAAAGUGCCGCAGAGAGCAGACCGCCGAUGGCCCCCAUGAAAGGGUGCGGUAAGAGCGCACCGGGCCGCUGGCAACAGGGGUCGCACGGCAAACCCCACCCGGAGCAAGGCCAAAUUGGGGACGAGGGGUGGCCCGCCCCGCCAGAGUCCCGGGUAGGCCGCUAGAGGCCCGGAGCGAUCCGGGUCCCAGAGAAAUGAUCCCACCGCUUCCUCGCGGGCUUCCCAAGAGGGGCGGGACAGGACUCGGCUUACGACGCCCGUCCUCCUG